rnacentral:rRNA from 1 species
CAAUGUCUGAGUACAAGCCGAAACAAGGUGAAACCGCGGACGGCUCAUUAAAUCAGAUAUGAUUCAUUGGAUCUGUACAACCCUACUACUUGGAUAACUGUGGUAAUUCUAGAGCUAAUACAUGCCUUCAGAGUCUCUGACAGUAAUGGAAGAGCGCUUUUAUUAGACCAAAACCCUUCGGACCUUGGGCCAAACCAAUUCCGUGGUGACUCUAGAUAACCCGCUGAGCGCACGGUCGUCCCCAGUCGGCUCGCCCGGCUGCGCGGACUCGGCGCCGCUUCUUGCAAGUGUCUGCCUUAUCAGCUCUCGAUUGUAGGUCAAACGCCUACAAUGGCUAUAACGGGUAACGGGGAAUCAGGGUUCGAUUCCGGAGAGGGAGCCUGAGAGACGGCUACCACAUCUAAGGAAGGCAGCAGGCGCGCAAAUUACCCACUCCCGGCACGGGGAGGUAGUGACGAAAAAUACUGUUGCGAGACUCGAACGAGGCUUCGCAAUUGGAAUGAGUACACUUUAAAUCCUUGUACGAGGAUCAAGUGGAGGGCAAGUCUGGUGCCAGCCGCCGCGGUAAUUCCAGCUCCACUAGCGUAUAUUAACGCUGUUGCGGUUAAAACGCUCGUAGUUUGCCCUCUGCUCCGGACCGGCGGUUCGCCUUAGCGGCGCUUACUGCCCGGCUCCGAGCUAUGUCCCUGCCGGCGCGCCGGGGGUGCUCUUAAACGAGUGUCCCUCGCGGCCGGCGAGUUCACUUUGAAAAAAUUAGAGUGCUCAAAGCAGGCCACAGCUAAAUGGGCCUGAAUGGUGGUGCAUGGAAUGAUGGAACAGGACCUCGGUUCUAUUUUGGGGGUUCUCUGAACCCGAGGUAAUGAUUAAUAGAAGCAGACGGGGGCAUUCGUACUGCGACGAUGAAGUGAAAUUCUUAGACCGUCCCAUGACGUCCUACUGCGAAAAAGACU